GGAAUCAGAAAAAAAAGGAACCAAGGAAAGAAAGAAAGGAAGGAAGGAACCACAAAUGAAGGAAAAAAUGAAAGAAGGAAGGAACCAAAGGAAGGAAGAAAGGAACCAAGGAAAGAAUGGAAGAUAGAAAGGAAGGAAGGAGAAACAAAUGAUCAGGUACCCACGUGUAAUGACCCAGCAACAGGUGUGUGUGUGUGUGUGUGUGUGUGUGUGUGUGUGUGUGUGUGUGUGUGUGUGUGUGUAGGCAAUCAAUUUCACAUAAACAAUCACAGGUAUUUUCUCUUAUAGUCUCUCAUUACUCGCUCCUCCUCUUCUCACGUACAUGUCACCUGGUAUUAUUAGGUGACGUGCAAAUUGCCAGGUAGAGGCGGCAGCAACAUGUGUUUUCGUACAGGUAGGCAAGAAGAAUCAUGCACAGGUAUACAACUUUCACUUUCUUGUUACUUGGUUUCCCUUUUGCUUCACCCACGAAUUGACAGGUAACGCGUGCAAUCAAUUGACGUCAGGUGUUUUGAUCCAGGAAGUUCUUUAGUCAGUCACAGGUGCUUCUUGUGAUAGAUUCUGAUUUCUCGGGUUCUCUUUUCCAAGUAGCACAAACCAAGCCACAGGUGGAAUCAAUAAGUGAAAGCAGUAACAUAUCAGGUGUUAUCAUCCAGGUAAUUAAUUAGAAUCUAUCACAGGUGCUUCUUUUGAUUGAUUCUGAUUUCUCGUUUUUUUUUUUUCCAAGUAGCACAAACCAAGCCACAGGUGGAAUCAAUAAGUAAAAGCAUUAAUAUAUCAGAUGUUAUCAUCCAGGUAGUUAAUUAGAAUCUAUCACAGGUACUUCUUUUCAUAGAGUCUCAUUCCCUGGUUCUUCUUUUCACGUAGUACAAUCCCCAACAGGUGCAAUCAAUAACACGCGCAGUCAGUGAUACAUCAGGUGUUUUCAUCCAGGUAGUUAAUUAGAAUCUAUCACAGGUGCUUCUUGUAAUAGAUUCUGGUUCAUCGGUUCUCUUUUCCAAGUAGUACAAACCACAACGUCACAGGUGCAAUUCGUAACAGGUGAUGUUCAAUAAUAUAUCAGGUGUCUUCAUCCAGGUAGUUAAUUAGAAUCUAUCACAGGUAUACUUCCUUUAACAGAUUCUGAUUCCUAUGUUCUAUUUUCCAAUUAGCACAAACCCCAACGUUACAGAUGCAAUAAGAGAUGUAGGUCAGUUAGUUUAUCAAAUGUUUGUACCAAGGUAUUUAAUUAGAAUGUAUUACAGGAACAGAUCACGAUUCCACAGUCCUCUUUUCAAGGUAGUUCAAAUUACAUCACAGGUGCAAUCAGUAACAGGUGUAGGUCAUUUCGUGUAUCAGAUGUGACCGCGAUCCUACGACGCAAAUACACGCCAGGUAGACUGCAUACCGCAACAUCACAAGUGCCAUCAAUAACAGGUGUAGGUCAGUCUGUAUCAGAUGUGACCGAGAUGCUACGACACGAAUACACGCCAGGUACAGUGCAUACGAUAAACUGACAGGUAAGCAUAAUUAGAUUUUUCACCUGCGCUUUCUACGACUCGCAAAGGUGACCGUGCGUGUGUGACUGUUUUUCAGGUGUGACGACGAACUCUCACUCACCAGGUUGACGGUUAAUUAGCAUUUCCAGUUUCCACGUGUAUGUAUGCAGUUUGAUUUUCCAGGUAAUGUCAGUCGCAAGUUGAUAUGCAGAGGUGUAAGUGUGUGCGUGUGUGUGUGUGUGUGUGUGUGUGUGUGUGUGUGUGUGUGUGUGUGUGUGUGUGUCCAUUAAAUCCACAUCACCAGGUACACAACGAACACUUUAAUUAGGGUUUCCAGAUAAGAACAAGCGCCAAAAAUGUUCAGGUGAGGCAUUUAAGUAUGCGUGUAUAGGUGAAGAGCGGAGGAGGCAGGUGUGAGGCUGUGAUUCAGCACUUUAAAAUUCCCACGUAAUUGAACACACAAAAUUUUUCCAGGUGAGACAUUUCUAAAACUCGCCAACUCGUAAAACUGUGCCCGUCAACUCGUCAGGUGAGUGUGUGUGUGCCUUAAUUAACUCAGGUGGGGAGGCAGGUGUGAGGCUGUGAUUGAGCACUUUAAAAUUCCCACGUAAUUGCACACACAAACAAAAAUUUCCAGGUGAGACAUUUCUAAAAACCGCCAACUCGCAAAACUGAGUGUCCGUCAACUCGUCAGGUGAGUGUGUAUGCCUUAAUUAACUCCUCAGGUGGGCAGGCAGGUGUAGGCGGGAUUGGGCACUUUAAAAUUCCCACGUAAUUGCGCACACACAAAAUUUCCAGGUGAGAUAUUUCUAAAACUCGCAAACUCGCAAAAAUGUGUGCCCGUCAACUCGGUAGGUGUGUGUGUAUGCCUUAAUUAACUCAGGUGGGCAGGCAGGUGUAGGCGUGAUUGAGCACUUUAAAAUUCCCACGUACACAAAAUUUCCAGGUGAGAUAUUUCUAAAACUCGCCAACUCGCAAAAAUGAGUGUCCGUCAACUCGGCAGGUGAGUGUGUGUGCCUUAAUUAACUCAGGUGGGCAGGCAGAUGUAGGCGUAAUUGAGCACUUUAAAAUUCCCACGUAAUUGCACACACACAAAAUUUCCAGGUGAGAUAUUUCCACAACUCGCCAACUCGCAAAACUGAAUGUCCGUCAACUCGGCAGGUGAGUGUGUAUGCCUCAAUUAACCUCAGGUGGGCAGGCAGGUGUGUGGGAGGGCGUGUACACGUGUCUAUAAGCUCGAGUCGGCGGCCCACCCAUGCACCCGCCACCACCGCCAGGUCGAAAUCAAAUCUUGUUCACUAUUUUUUCUUCUCUUUUUUUUUUCCCCCUUCACACACACGCGGGAACCUUUUCAACAACGGCCACGCUUUCCGACUGACAGGAGAAGAGGAGGAGGAGGAGGAGGAGGGGCGAUGCGAGUGGGCAGGGAACAAGUAGGAAGAGAAUAGAUGGACAGUGUGUGUGUAUGUGUGUGUGUGUGUGUGUCUGUGGGAAUGGGAGGGAGAGGGAAGAUGCACAAUAUGGGUGGAGGUAACGGAAGGGGUAGUUAGAAGGGCUGUGUGAAUUGGCUAGCAUGUGAGGGAUAAGAAGGGAGGAAAGAGCAAAGGAGUGAGAAUGCGUAAAUGUGAAAUAGGAAUAAGAAGAUAGUAGGCAGUGUUAUAUGAAUUAGGGAUACAGCAAGACGAGGGAGGAAAGUGUGAAAGCGAGUGUGUAUGUGUGAAGAAUAUAGAUAAUUAGAAGAAGAGGUUAGGCUAAAUGAGGCUUGUAAGAUUAAAUAAAGGAAGGAAGGAAGGAAGGAAGGGGGUGUGAGAGCUGAACGAAGGAGAGGAAAGAAGGAAAAAAUAAUGAAAGAAUGAAAGGAAGGAAGGAAGGAAGAAACCAAGGAAAGAAAGAAGGAACCAAAGAGAGAAUGAAAGAGAAGAGAGGAAGAAAUGGAUGAAGGAAUGGAGGAGAUAAGAAAGGAAUAGAAUAACACAAGAAACAUAAAUGAGAAAGGGAAGGAAGGAAGAAUGAAGAAGAAAAAAACGAGUAAACAGGAAGAAAAGAGGAGAUAAGGAAGGCGAGGAUGGAAGAAACGAGAAAAAAGGAACACAAGAAGAAGAAGAAAACGAGGGAAGGAGGAGGACUGAAGCAAAAUAAAGAGAGGGGGAGGGAAGGGAAGAAGAAAGGAAAGGAAGGAAUAAACUGUGGUGGGGGGGAGUGAGGGCAAGGGAGAGGGAAUGGGAGGAAGGGAGGAAGGAAGGGAGGAAGGGGUGAGGUAAGAGGUGGGUCUCCAAUAGGUAAGCCACGUGAAGGGAGGACACGUGUUGCCUUACAGACGUGGCCACAGGAGGAGGAAGGGAGGAAGGGUUAAAGGGAGGGAAUGAAGGAGGAAAGGAGGAAGGGUUAAAGGGAGGGAGUGAAGGAGGAAGGGAGGAAGGGUUAAAGGGAGGGAGUGAAGGAGGAAGGGAGGAAGGGUUAAAGGGAGGGAGUGAAGGAGGAAGGGAGGAAGGGUUAAAGGGAGGGAGUGAAGGAGGAGGGGUUGAAGGGAGAGAGCGGGGAGGAAAAGUUAAUUCUACUGACGAAGGGACGAACGUUUAAGGGAGAAUGAGCGUGUUCUCCCUGAUACCUCUCAUUAUAUGCAGGGAGAUAAGAAGAGAGGGAGGGAGAGGGAGAGGAAGGGAGAGAGAGGAGAUUGAUGAGGGGGGAGAGGGAGAAGGGAGAGAGAGGGGGGAGAAUGGGGGAGACAGAUAAGGGAGAAAGAAAGGAAGGAAGGAAACGAUUGAGGAAUGAAAUGAAGGAAGAAAGGAAGGAAGGAAGGAUGAAAGAAGGGAAGGAAGGAACCAAGGAAAGAAAGGAAGGAAAGAAUGAAGGAAAGAAUGAAAGAAAGGAAAUAGCCAAGGAAAGAAUGAAAGAAAGAAAGAAACGAAGGAAGAUGUGAAGGAAAAGAUGAAAGGAAGGGCGAAUGAAGGACAAGCAAAAAAUAAGUAAAAAAGAAGAGAUGAAAUUGAAGAACGAGCAAGAAAUAAAAGAAAAAGAAGAAAAAAAAGAGAGGGAGGGAGGAAUGGAGGGAGGGAGGGAGGGUGAGCC